rnacentral:snRNA from 1 species
UCACAUGAUGACAACUAAUUAAAUGAAAUUAUUAAUGACACUUAACCUCAUAGUUACACUGAUU